rnacentral:rRNA from 1 species
UACGUAGGCAGCGAGCGUUGUUCGGAGUUACUGGGCGUAAAGCGUGCGUAGGCGGUGUCCUAAGUCUGGUGUGAAAUCUCCCGGCUCAACUGGGAGGGUGCGCUAGAAACUGGGAUGCUAGAGUGUGGGAGAGGUAAGCGGAAUUCCUGGUGUAGCGGUGAAAUGCGUAGAUAUCAGGAGGAACACCUGCGGUGUAGACGGCUUACUGGACCAUGACUGACGCUGAGGCACGAAAGCGUGGGGAGCAAACAGG